CGGACCUCGGACAAGGACUUCCUUCCCACUGGUCUCUGAGCCUCACGGAGCAGCAUGGAUGUUAGCCUCAACCAGCCCCAAUAAGGGCCACUGAAAAUCAGGGCCUCCAUUUCCCUACCUAGAAGACGAUGAGUGUGAAGGAGAUGAUCUAAAGUCUUUUCUAGCACCAGAACGCUUAGAUUACCUUGCUGUCCUUGGUUAAGGUGACUUCUAAGCAAGAGUAACAUCCCCCUGC
rnacentral:lncRNA from 1 species